rnacentral:rRNA from 1 species
UACAGAGGUCUCAAGCGUUGUUCGGAAUUACUGGGCGUGAAGCGCACGUAGGCGGCUCUUUAAGUCGGGGGUGAAAUCCUGGAGCUCAACUCCAGAACUGCCUUCGAUACUGUAGAGCUUGAGUUCGGGAGAGGUGAGUGGAACUGCGAGUGUAGAGGUGAAAUUCGUAGAUAUUCGCAAGAACACCAGUGGCGAAGGCGGCUCACUGGCCCGAUACUGACGCUGAGGUGCGAAAGCGUGGGGAGCAAACAGG